CCAGCCUGUAGGCUGGAGCAGGAGCAUCGGGCUGUAGGCAUGGCAGGCAGUGCCUCCCAGCGUCUCCGUGAAAGACUGAAGCUCUCCACCGAGGCCAAAGGGCAUGGCUGGUUCCCUGGAAGAUGCAGAUAGAGAAUGACAAAGGGCUGAAGACCCCUUUGUGCCCUUUCUUGGACAAUGGCCUAAGCCCCCAGCCAGGCAUGGCAGACACUCCGAGAGAGCUGAGCCAGUCGCAACACCCAUGGCCGCUUGAGGGAGGGUAGCCCGGCGCUCCCAGCGGCCUUCAUCAGCCAAGAAGGCCUCCACAGCAGCUACUGGGCUCUGGACUUCAUCCACACCGCCCACCACUAGCACCUGCUUACCCAGAACUACAGCAGCUGCACCAGCCCUGGCGGUGGGCAGGGGUGCUAAUGCUAGCCAUGUGUGCGAGGCCAUGUCCAGUGUCUCAGCAGUGUCCAGAGGUAACCCAGCCCGGCCACAGCCCCCCAACACCAGCAGGUGUCCAUCCUGGUGUGCCACUGUACCGUAGACCCGGCAAGUAGGCAUGGGGGGGAACACCUGCCAAGCAAAGGCUCGGCCACCUCCCGCAGCCAUGGUGUUCACUGCCAGUGGUGGGCCAUACUAGCUGCUCAGGCCGUGGGCCUCACUGUGGGGGACACGAUAAAGCCUCAUUUUGAUUCUGUCAGGGCUGGAAGGGUGUGUCUGCCCAGUCCAGGGACCUUCCUUCACCUGGAGGAGAGAUGUGAAACAAACCGUCAGAGCCACUGUCAAGAAACAGUGAACAACACGUAGCUGAAGGCCGGCCAGGCCCCAAAUCACUCAUGCUGAAGGACCCACCCCUUUGACUAACGCUCUCCUGGUGAAGGUCCUUCUAUAGUGGGAAGAAUAGAUUCCAGAUACCCAGACGGCUCUCUCGGUUCUCAUAGGAGCAUGAGGGAUUCUUCCCCACCCCAACCCUAAGAACUAGCAAGUAGUAACUUGAUCAAUUUAGAGUGGAAGGGAAGAUAGAGCCCCGCUCUCCAUCCUAGCUCCCUUCCUGUCCCAACAAGUCUUAUCUCGGUGCUCCAAGAGAGUUCUGCAUCCUCUGCACACUGGCAUCUAGUGCGUGCCUUGAACAACCUGGGUCCAGCCAUCAGGGUCCCUCAUCCUGUAGUCCUUACAAGAAAGGAUCUUAACAAGGUACAACCAUUUAUAUCAGCAAAAGGCCAGUCUCAUGUGCAAGACUCGAAGGGGAUAGACUCCAGGAUUCCUCACUCCCUUUGAAGUCCAUCCUUAUGGGUGUGGUGAUGCCAGCAGAUUCCCUGCCGAGGAGGUAUUAGAGGGCUGGUGUGGGGAAUCUUUUGAGCACAGGGCUUUUCCUGUAGGAAUAAACAGCUGGAUUCCUGACACCCUCCCCCCCCACCUCCAAGAACACAUUCCUUAGCCUCCCCUUUUGCUGUGUGUGUGUGUCUGUGUGUUUGUGUGUCUAUGCCUAUGUUGGGGGUCUCCACUCUCAGUCCCGGGAUCUGACAGGACGGCCUCCUGGCCCCAAACUUCCAACUCAAAGGAGAGUGGGGGGGCGGGUCUGGCUAGUGGGUUUAAUUAAGGUUCUAUGCUUCAUGCCCCAAACUUCCCCUGAGCGAGGCUCCUGCGGGACUCACCCGCUGGAUCUCAGAUGUCGCCAGGGCACGGGGUCCGCUGUUCCGCCUCCGCUGACGCUGGCUCUGACUAGGGCUGAAGCUGGGCUCUGGUGGGGCUCCCGCACCGCUCCGGCGUGGGGCGGGGCUGGACCAGGUCCGCCCCUCGCUCCCCCCUCCCCAGAUUCGGGGAAACCUCCUCCCGCCUUAACUCUGCACAUGCCACGGCAGGAGUAGGGCGCACGGACCCACGGUCACCCAAAAUGAACAGACAGGCAUAUGGACAUCCGGCCGGCCAGGAUUUAGGGUUCUACCUGGGGCGAUGAUAGAAAUGAGGCGAGCGGCGAGCAACACAACACCGGUGUGGAGCUACGGGGCUGCGGUCACAGCGGGCGGCUCUGAUUUGCUUAUGUUCCAGUGAAAGCAGGGUUUGGCCAGCUGCACACAGUUUCUGUGAUUGGGUUAUGUUUGGAACUCUGGGUACUUCUCAGAGGGUCUAUAAAUUUGAGGGCCCUGAGGGGUGGGGUGAGUGAUUGUUGGCCACUGGGGAUGAGAGGGGGGGAGGCUAGUUGCAGUUUGUUAGUAGUCAAAAGAAAUUAGAUUCAAGGAUCUCUAUUUAUCUCUCCCCUCUAUCCUUCUUUCUCUCCUGUCUAGUGAUAGGAGUUGAAACUGGGGGUUAGAGAGUGGGAAAAGAAGAACCCACAAAGUAGCAAAGACCAGCUCCACCCACCUACCUCUGAUUCACACCUGGGCUCAGCCUGUCUUAUGAGCAUUCUGAUCAGCUGAAGCUUCCAGUUGGAGAUCUUGGGUGAACAGUCUGCGUCUGUUCAUUGAUUCAGACCCUUUUGUGUACAGUGUUUAGCUUAAUUUUCCCAAAGCAGACCUUGAGGCAAUGACACAAGUGUGUGCGGUUAGUGUAGGAGGUGAAGCCAGGAAGCACCCGCAGAGGAGUAGCAAGAAGACCGAGGAAGGCAGCCAGUAGAGGAGGUGCCAUCAGUCAGUCACCACUGUGGGUAACUGCGACCUGGGGAUUCUGGGAGGUGAUUAGAAACAUGGGCCUUGGGCUGGCGAGAUGGCUCAGCGGGUAAGAGCACUGACUGCUCUUCCGAAGGUCCUGAGUUUGGAUCCCAGCAACCACAUGGUGGC